rnacentral:rRNA from 1 species
GGUGUUCGACUAAGCCAUGCAAGUCAUAUGUUCCCCGUGAACAUGGCAUACUGCUCAGUAACACGUGGAUAACCUGCCCUUGGGUCUGGGAUAACCCCGGGAAACUGGGGAUAAUACCGGAUAACGCAUAUGUGCUGGAAUGCUUUAUGCGUAAAACGGAUUCGUCCGCCCAAGGAUGGGUCUGCGGCCUAUCAGGUAGUAGUGGGUGUAAUGCACCUACUAUCCAACAACGGGUACGGGUUGUGAGAGCAAGAGCCCGGAGAUGGAUUCUGAGACAUGAAUCCAGGCCCUACGGGGCGCAGCAGGCGCGAAAACUUUACAAUGCGGGAAACCGUGAUAAGGGAACACCGAGUGCCAGCAUCAUAUGCUGGCUGUCCAGAUGUGUAAACUACAUCUGUUAGCAAGGGCCGGGCAAGACCGGUGCCAGCCGCCGCGGUAACACCGGCGGCCCGAGUGGUGACCGUUAUUAUUGGGUCUAAAGGGUCCUUAUCCGGUUUUGGUCAUUCCUCCGGGAAAAUCUGAU